AACCAUUUCAAAUUGGCACAUAAUGUUUAGAAAUGCAUCAGGUCAAGAAAUAUAAAUGAAAAACAUAAAGAUUUUUAUCUGAUGACGUCACAAUUACGUCAUAAUAUGUACUGUUUUCACAAAAACGAUGAAAAAAUACAGAAUUUAUGCAGUUUUCUAUCUUUAUUUCCGUUCUGGAAACAUCCUGCGCAGCCAAGAAACAACAAAAUAAUUUAACAGAAGCUUUAUCAUAACUUUUGGCAUAAUCUCACCAAAUAUAAAGUUGUUUCUUGGGUGCGCACAUACUUUUUCAAUCUAAAAUAUACUUAAAAUUUGAUAAAAAAACAAGGAAAAUCACGAAAUUUAACAUAAUAUGCAAAUUAAGUCAUGAUUUGUUGCCAUGGUAACUUGUUUGAUGUCAGAUUUGUUUUGUUUUUCUUCGUACCUUAUACCUUAGUCAAGUUUUCAGUUAUUUAAGAAUG
rnacentral:lncRNA from 1 species